UUUCCGUAGGUGAACCUGCGGAAGGAUCAUUGUCGAAACCUGCCCAGCAGAACGACCCGCGUACUUGUAUAAACAACCGGGGGCGGGGGGCGUUCUCGCCCCGUGCCCCCGAACGGCGGGGGGACGCUCGUGCCUUCUUGCCGAACGACGAACCCCGGCGCGGUCUGCGCCAAGGAACUUCAACUCAAGAGUGCCGCCGGUCGCCUCGGAAAAGGCGUGCGUGCCGGGGGCGAACCUUGUGCAAAACCAUAACGACUCUCGGCAACGGAUAUCUCGGCUCUC
rnacentral:misc_RNA from 1 species